ACGCAAAGGCAUUUAUUUGAAAUCGAGAUGGGCAUUUUAUGUUCGAACACACUUUGUGAAAUCCAUAUACAGGUAUCGCAGAUUCAGAGAGCUUUAUAACAUCCAAUUUCCUUUGUGCAAGUUCGAACCAGAAUCCUACAUCGAUGAAACUAUGCCAAGGCAGAAAUCUGAGAACUUGCUUCGAACUCUGUGACAUUCUUCUCGUAAAACUGCUUUUGUGUAUUUUGUAUUGACUUUUUUUUAUUCCUUAUUUUGUACACAUCGAAAACAUUGGCCUGUUCUAUUUUAGUUACUACCAGACGCCUCGAUCUGUCCUACCUCUUUUAAAAUAGACAGACAGACACUUGUGGGUUCUUUACAGAUUUUUAUAUGGGCAACCCCAGCUCGCCUAAAACUGAUUCGUGCUACGAAUCAUCUUUUCUUCCGAGUAGCAACGAUUCGGAUGCUCUUCCGAGCGACAAGGAGAAGUUCCCGCUUUUGUUACGAUGUAAUGUUUUUGAUGAACAAACAGGCAUUUGUCUGCUGGACAAGAAUUGGCAAUGGCCAUUACAGGCUUCUCCCUACGAUAUAUCGAAAAUGGUGCUGUCUUUUAAGCAAAUCUCUGGACAGCUGGGCUAUAAAAGCAAAGAAGUCAAACAAGUUAUUUUUGGAGCGAAAUAUAACGACAACACUAAGACAUUGUCUUCUAGGAGAAGGCAGCUACUAUCAAAAAAAAAACAGACAGCGUAUCCACUUCGGAUGAUCUUAGCUACUGAUGAAAAUGUUGUUAUAAGCCUAUUUCAUAGACUGAUCGAAAACAAUCAAGAUAUUUUGGAACACAUCGAUGCCUUUUUAAUAGAAUUGCUUCAAGAGUUUCAAAACCGAGACUUUACUCAGAUCGCUAUUUCUUUGCGCAGUCAGCUGAAUGAAAUUGCUAAAACACAAGAAAACAUAGAAUUGGCAAAAAAUAUUAUGAAUAACUUCUCUUCAUUUGAAUACGUCAUUGAAAUUCUCAAAAUCAAACAUAAUCUUGACUUCCUCUUAUAGCAAUGCCCUUUUUCAAAUUCUUGUGAAAUAAUAGCUAAAUGUCUGCUCUCAGUUAAAUGCAGUGGCGAUAAGACCGAGUAAAGUGUUGUUCCAAUAUAAUUUGAAACCACUGCUUUUCUAUUUUCGGACGAGUAUAGAGCGUAUAUGGUUGCGUCAAUUACAACUGAAUCAUCACCCAUUUUACAAACAUGACAUAUACCAAUGUUGUCUUAUUUUGGAUUCACUUUGCUAAAAAAUUAAACACAAAGAGUCAGAACUAGUACGGUGUCUGACUGGCUUAGCGUAAUAAAAAGUCUUUUUCAACUUCUUUGCUAUUAUCACACAUACUGAGAGAACGAAGUGUGUUCUGUGUUUUAAAUUUGGCAAUUGCCCAGUUUCAUUGUACUAUGUGUGAUUAUAUAGUAGGAGAUAUAUUGGUGCAUGAUUUCUGUUGCGAUAACGUAAUACAAGACAGCAAACUGAGAAAACUAAAUGACCUACUUAGUUUGCAAGCACAGAUUAUUGCGAGGAGCUAUAGAAGCGUUUUUGUGUUAUUAAGCAUUUGAAAACAACGUAUAACCUUUGCAAGGAAGGACUCAUAUCUAAUUUUUUCAGGAUACUGCUGAUUUGGUGAUAACAAGCCACACUAGUUAAAUUUUUUUUUUUACUAUUAUCAGACUUGCUCAAGAUAUGAAUUAAUGGGAGAUUUAGUCAAAAAGCACGUAUAAAAUGCUAGAACUUUAAUUUGAAUGCUCGAGGCAAUCGUAGUGUAGUGGCAUCAUCAAA